rnacentral:tRNA from 1 species
AGGCGCGUCGUUCAACGGUAGGACAGCGGUCUCCAAAACCGCCAAUGCGGGUUCAACUCCUGCCGCGUCUGCCA